GAUGAAGAACGCAGCAAAAUGCGAUAAGUAAUGUGAAUUGCAGAAUUCAGUGAAUCAUCGAAUCUUUGAACGCACAUUGCGCCCGCCAGUAUUCUGGCGGGCAUGCCUGUUCGAGCGUCAUUUCAACCCUCAAGCACAGCUUGGUGUUGGGACUCGCGUUAAUUCGCGUUCCUCAAAUUGAUUGGCGGUCACGUCGAGCUUCCAUAGCGUAGUAGUAAAACCCUCGUUACUGGUAAUCGUCGCGGCCACACCGUUAAACCCCAACUUCUGAAUGUUGACCUCGGAUCAGGUAGGAAUACCCGCUGAACUUAAGCAUAUCAAUAAGCGGAGGA
rnacentral:misc_RNA from 1 species